UGACAUUAAGAGUUAUUAAAGGAACGAGUCGACAGUUUAGAAAAUGUGAAUUCACGGCAAGCGUCGGCGGUCCCCUGGAAGAGCCAGGGCAGGGCAGAGUGACUUGGGUUUAAGAAGGUAUCUGCCAGUCCUACUGAGAAGCUGCCUGAAGCUGCCUGAUUUGCAUACAUGCCUCUGAUCUAAUUGUAUCAUCACUGGCUGACCGACCUGGGAAAAGGGACGGCCUGGGUCCAGAUCUGGUAACACUGGGCAGGAGGUUCAGCAGCCAAGGAACAUUAGGACGAAGCACGUGAUCUACGCCUCGCUUGCCGCAGGUCUCCUUCACAAGUGCAUCACUGUCUUUCGUGCCUCCAGAUGGAACACACACUCACCAGGAACUUUUUAAAGUUCCAAAGAGCCAACGGAUCCAGACGGGGAGAUUUUUAAAAAGGAGUAUUUUGCUCUAGCGAAUUGAAAAAUUGCAUUGAUCCCCGCCAUAAAUGCAGCAUGAUGCAGAAGUUAGGCAGUAUUGCUCUCGUUCUAUCAGGGCAGAAACACCAGCAGAGUGGAAACAGGGAAAUAGCACGGCUGUCCUGAUUGAGGGGGAACACCUGACAAGACACCCAGCUGUUUGGUUGCAGGAGCCCCUCUGUGAUAUCACCUUCUUCUGCUUUUUUACACAAGGGUCCUGGAGCAGGUGGCCAGGUGCUCAGAAACAUGCUCAUUUGAGCUGGGGACCCAGAGCAUGGAACCUCUGAUUUUGAACCCCAAAGCAUGGGCCAGGUUUGUGUGGCUCCCAUGGGUAGAUUUUACCUCAGUCCUGAGCAUCUUAUCGAAGCCAUGGUCCAGGGCGGUGUGUAUAAGCAGCACAGCACACAUCCAUGUCCCUCCUACUCUGAAGAGAGUGGGUCCCUUAACUUUCCUUCCCUUCUGUUGACUGAUUUCCUUCCUCUAUCACCAGACUUUUAGAAGGACCAGUGCUGCUUGCAAUGUCUACCCUUCCUGGCCCCACAUUUUCUCUUCAUCUCAUUGUAGUCUGGAUCCUUACCCUCCUCCCCAAGGAAUCGCUAAACUGCUCUUCCUGAGGUCAGCUGUGAUAUCCUAAAUGCCGGCUCCCUGUCCUAUUUUCAGCCCUCCACCUGAAGGACGUCGCUGCCAUGUUUGACAUGAGACAUGGUCUCCUCCUUGCAGCUUGCUUCUCCAAAGGCUUUGGCUCUUCUCUCUUGGUCCGUCGGUCAGCCUCCUCUCCUAAUUCUCCUGUUCCUCUCCCUGUUUCUUCUUGGUCCCCUUCGCUGAUCCUCUUCUUUCCGCCUCUGUAAUGCUGGUGUCCUAGAGGAUUAAUUUUUUAGUUCUUCCUUCUUUUACCUCUGUUCUGCCAUCCCUUCCCCUUCCCCCAAGUCCAGAGUCAUCUUACCCACCUUACUUGGUGCUGCGCACUGUGCUAGUGCUGGAAAUACAGAGAUGAAUACUUUGUACCAUGGUGUAAAUUUGGACAAUGAGUGGGGUGGGGGGAUUCAAUUCCACGCGAUGGGAAGGAACAGAGAGUACAAUACACUGGAGUAUUUACCAUGUUGCAUAAUCCUUAGAAGUGAGGGUCUGUCGGGCCUAAGCCAUGGCCUUCCAGAAGAAAGGGUGUGUGUGUGUGUGUGUGUGUGUGUGUGUGUGUGCCCAGAAGCCUUGCACAGCCGAGGAGCUGUUCCACUCUAAGAGGGGACCUUAUCUUGCUCAGGCAGUGCUUUAAAGUUACCAGAAGAUUCGUUGGGGAAGCUGGCUUUGCCCCAGCUUGCAGAUGAGUCACCGAUUCUUCAAAUUCCCCCUUUGAACUCUACACUCAGGGUCCCAAAGUAUUUUUGUGUCUCCAAGGGCGAUUUCAAAAAUAUUUAACAAAGACAUCAACACAGCUCAAUCAGAAUGAAUGAUUGAGCAAGAUUCCUGAGGUGCCCUUCUGUGCCAUAAGGUGAAUCCUUUAGAGACUUUAGAUCAUAGGGAAGUGUGUGUGUGCACACGCGUGUGUGUAUGCGUGCACAUGUAGGGUGUCCUGAAGGAGAGGCUGAGCAGCUGAGGCAGAAAGGGGGGGAUUUGAGGAGGUCUUGGGACAGUGCAAUUUCCCAACUCUAUGAAGGUAUUUUAAUAUAUUAACGUCCUGUAUGGCCAUAGAGAGGCAAUCCUACCUUCCUCCUGAGACUGUAAAUUCUCUGAGAGCAGACUUAUUUUUAAGGUCAGCUGAUGAGCACCCUUAAUUUCCCCUUUGCCAUGUAACCCAACAUAUUUACACAUUCUGGUAAUAAGAUGUGGACAUUUUUUGGGGGUGGGUGUGUGUGUUAUUUUGCCUAAUAUAUGCACCCAUGAGACAAAAGACAAGACCAAACCCAUAAGUCUCCUAACAAUGUGAAUGGCUAAAGCUUAGGAUACAUUUCCUGUGAAAUACUGUAAAGUGUCAUAUAGCAAGCGACACACACAAUCAGUAAAUAUUAUCCACUUGGAAAAUUCCCUUGCAUGACUCAAAAGUAAUCUGGUAGAUGCUAACCCUGAUGAUCAAGACAUGAAAAAAUUUGGUAAAGUUGUUCUAUAAAUAAGAGAUAGGAAAAAGCAGUUUCUUUAAAAGUAUGUGUAUAAGUAAUGCAUUAAAUAUUUUGACUGCAUCCUUAAGGGUUCUGUGUUUGAGUUGGCCUAAACACUUUUUAAAGAUAUUUUUUGUUGGAAAGCAGGAUCCUCUGAUAGUGUGGUCACCCUAUAUUUGGGCAUAUAUGAUAAAUAUUUCUUUAUUUAAUAUUUAAUAUAU